rnacentral:siRNA from 1 species
AGCUGAUGACUCGCGCUUACUAAG